GGAGAGGGCGAGCGUUGUUCGGAUUUACUGGGCGUAAAGGGCAUGUAGGUGUCCCGAUAAGCUCUGGGGUGAAAUCUCCGCGCUCAACGCGGAAACGAAUCAGAGAACUAUCGGGAUUGAGUUCAGAAGAAGAGAGUGGAAUUCUCGGUGUAGCGGUGAAAUGCGUAGAUAUCGAGAAGAACACCAGCGGCGAAGGCGGCUCUCUAUUCUGAAACUGACACUCAAAUGCGAAAGCGUGGGGAGCGAAUGGGAUUAGAUACCCCAGUAGUCCACGCUGUAAACGAUGUGCACUUGGUGUAUUCCUUUUUAAGGGGUGUGCCGGAGCUAACGCGUUAAGUGCACCGCCUGGGGAGUACGGCCGCAAGGCUA
rnacentral:rRNA from 1 species